GGCUAGGUAUUUUAGUUUUUGCAUAUUUGAACAUCUGCCCGGUGAGCUGAACACUGUGGGUUCGAUUCCCAUCCCUGGACA